AUAGCCGCAGUACCCUGACUGUGCAAAGGUAGCAUAAUCAGUUGGCUUAUAAUUGAAGUCUAGUAUGAACGAAAGGAUGGGAGUAAGCUAUCUAAGAAUUGUAUCAAUAAAUUACUUAAUAAGUGAAAAUUCUUAUAUAAAUAUAAUAGACGAGAAGACCCUAGAAAUUUUAAGUAAUAUUUAGCUAUUGGUUUUUGUUGGGGCGACACAGUAGCACUAUAAACCUACUAAGAAGGAUAUGAUUAUCUUAAUAUGUAUAAUUAAAUUACUCUAGGGAUAACAGCAUAAUAUUGUAAAGUUUGUGACCUCGAUGUUGGACUAGGAAAGUAUAACUCAGAAGGUUAUUAUGUAGGCUCUGUUCG
rnacentral:rRNA from 1 species